CAGAGGUCUCAACCGUUGUUCGGAUUCAUUGGGCGUAAAGGGUGCGUAGGCGGUCGGGUAAGUCGGAUGUGAAAUCCCAGGGCUCAACCCUGGAACUGCAUUCGAUACUGCCUGGCUAGGGUACUGGAGAGGAGACUGGAAUUUACGGUGUAGCAGUGAAAUGCGUAGAUAUCGUAAGGAAGACCAGUGGCGAAGGCGAGUCUCUGGACAGUUACCGACGCUGAGGCACGAAGGUCAGGGGAGCAAACGGGAUUAGAUACCCCGGUAGUCCUGACAGUAAACGGUGUACGUUUGGUGUAGGCGGAUUCGACCCCGCCUGUGCCGGAGCUAACGCGUUAAACGUACCGCCUGGGAAGUACGGUCGCAAGAUUA
rnacentral:rRNA from 1 species